AGUGAACGCUGGCGGUAGGCCUAACACAUGCAAGUCGAACGGCAGCACAGUAAGAGCUUGCUCUUACGGGUGGCGAGUGGCGGACGGGUGAGGAAUACAUCGGAAUCUACUUUUUCGUGGGGGAUAACGUAGGGAAACUUACGCUAAUACCGCAUACGACCUACGGGUGAAAGCAGGGGAUCUUCGGACCUUGCGCGAUUGAAUGAGCCGAUGUCGGAUUAGCUAGUUGGCGGGGUAAAGGCCCACCAAGGCGACGAUCCGUAGCUGGUCUGAGAGGAUGAUCAGCCACACUGGAACUGAGACACGGUCCAGGCUCCUGCGGGAGGCCGCAGUGGGGAAUAUUGGACAAUGGGCGCAAGCCUGAUCCAGCCAUACCGCGUGGGUGAAGAAGGCCUUCGGGUUGUAAAGCCCUUUUGUUGGGAAAGAGAAGCAGCAGGUUAAUACCCCGCUGUUCUGACGGUACCCAAAGAAUAAGCACCGGCUAACUUCGUG
rnacentral:rRNA from 1 species